CAUAGAAUUGUAUUAAGCGUUGAAAUGGGGCAAAAUGAAUUAUUUUUACCGGGAACAACCGCUGUACUCAAUACUACGUGGCCAACCGAAAUGAGUGCGAAUUAUCAGAGACAAAAAUAAGAGUUGAAAUUCUCCAAUGACUGUACGUGAUCUUUUCGUUACGCCAGCGACACGGCUUAAUCGUAUUUGGUAAGGUUACGUUUGUAUGAUGUACAUUGUGCAUGUUAUCUAUUAUAUUACGGCUUCGCUAGUUUACGAGUCGAUUAUAUUAUGAGUAUAUAAAUUGGAAGAGACCCGUGCACGCAUACAUAGUGUUGUUGCGAUGAUAUUGUGUAAUAUACGUUCACCCCGCACGGUCACGGAUGUAGCCUAAUCAGCAGAGCGUAUUGCGUCAAAGCUCGGGGAUUAUGUUUGCCGGCGGUUAUUAGAACGUAUUUGCAAAAAUAUCUCAGGCAUCACAUCAGCUGUGUGUAUAAAUUAUGUUAUUACGUUUACACAGUUCUAAGAACCGUGUAAAUACCGUUUAGACGUUGUUCGUCAAUAUGGUAUUUUAGUGCAUUAUACAUUAGAUAUUACGCAUUGCUUACAAAUGUUCGUCUUGAAAUAAUAAUAAAUCUAAGUCAUCGGUAUCAGUCGUAUAUCAGUCGUACACGGUCACCGCGUCGGCAUGUGUAAUGUUAUCUGGUCUGACAGUAAAUUUGAAACCCGAAUUAGAAUGUACGUUACCGCCGACUCCAUCUUUUUGGAUUUUGAGUUUUCUAUUACCACCACCAUUCAGUAUGCAAUUUAUUUGUAUUUGUUUGAACUUCCUACGACCGUUAUGAUUGAAAUACCAUAGAUAGAUUUGUAAUAAGUAUAUUAUUAUGUUUUCCAUUAAAUUUUAAAGACAAUAUUUUGUCACGCGUUCAUUAUCAAAUUGACAGGGGUUCUGUCAUAAAUGUAUUAUGCAAAGUACAGUUUUUAAUUUUAAGCAUAGAUUUUAGAUAUAUUGGUUUUACAAUGAUGUUUAGUUAUUUAUUUAUUUUUUUUUAUUUACUGUGCACAAAUAUUCUAUCAGAGUCUUGCUUUGUCAAACACCUUUC